UAGGGAAUCUUCGGCAAUGGGGGGAACCCUGACCGAGCAACGCCGCGUGAGUGAAGAAGGUUUUCGGAUCGUAAAGCUCUGUUGUUAAGGAAGAACGUGUGUGAGAGUGGAAAGUUCACACAGUGACGGUACUUAACCAGAAGGGGACGGCUAACUACGUGCCAGCAGCCGCGGUAAUACGUAGGUCCCGAGCGUUGUCCGGAUUUAUUGGGCGUAAAGCGAGCGCAGGCGGUUAGAUAAGUCUGAAGUGAAAGGCAGUGGCUCAACCAUUGUAGGCUUUGGAAACUGUUUAACUUGAGUGCAGAAGGGGAGAGUGGAAUUCCAUGUGUAGCGGUGAAAUGCGUAGAUAUAUGGAGGAACACCGGUGGCGAAAGCGGCUCUCUGGUCUGUAACUGACGCUGAGGCUCGAAAGCGUGGGGAGCGAACAGGAUUAGAUACCCUGGUAGUCCACGCCGUAAACGAUGAGUGCUAGGUGUUAGGUCCUUUCCGGGACUUAGUGCCGCAGCUAACGCAUUAAGCACUCCGCCUAGGGAGUACGACCGCAAGGUUG
rnacentral:rRNA from 1 species